ACAGAGAUAAAAACGCAACGUGCGCCGCGACGGCGUGCCAGAGCCGGUAGGUAGCCCGGCCGUCCUGCGGAUCGCAAGGAAGAGGAGAUCGCAGGGUAAGUAACCUGCCCCUCCGGGUUGUCCGUUCUUUGUCCAU
rnacentral:ncRNA from 1 species